AGGGGUGAAAGGCCAAUCAAACUCCGUGAUAGCUGGUUCUCCCCGAAAUGCAUUUAGGUGCAGCGUCGUGUGUUUCUUGCCGGAGGUAGAGCACUGGAUAGUCUAGGGGGCCUACAAGCUUACCGAAAUUAGCCAAACUCCGAAUGCCGGUAAGUGAGAGCGCGGCAGUGAGACAGUGGGGGAUAAGCUCCAUUGUCGAGAGGGAAACAGCCCAGACCAUCAGCUAAGGUCCCUAAGCGAUAACUAAGUGGAAAAGGAUGUGGAGUCGCACAGACAACCAGGAGGUUGGCUUAGAAGCAGCCAUC
rnacentral:rRNA from 1 species